CUGACUUGGAACCCUGCUUUUUAGCAUUUGUGUUAGGUGCAGUCUCUAAGAGUGUUGCUACCUUUCUCACAUAUCCUUCAAUCAGGUGUAAGGUGAUGAUACAAGCUGGAGAUCCAAAUGACGACGAUGGUGGUGGUGCGCAAGUAAUUUAUCAUAAUCCACAUGACUGGUGCAUUAGUGUGUAAUUAUAUUUUGUACUUUCAUUCUUGAGUCUUGUUGUUCCUUUGUGUUGAGAUGGUAUUUUGUUGAGCAAAGUUCAGUCAAUUGGAGAAAAAGAAACUCUCAUUCAUGUACAAGCAAUUCAGUUGUUUUGUAUCCCGAAUAUCCUGUUAAAUUUACUACUUUUUUCACCUAAACAAAAGUAUUGAUCACCUACUCUUUUAAGGUAAUGAUUGUUCUUUAGGAAUUCAUAUAAUUGAAUCUUUUUUGCUUCACUACCUUUUUUAAUAACUAAAAAAAUGUUUAUUUAACUUUUAAUCUGUAAAUCUUUAAUAUAGCAUUGCUUGAAAUUUGUGUGCAUGUUUCAGGAAGAAUAUUGUUGGUCAGUAUUAUGGCCACACCUCCUUCACUCUUCCUAGGCUCUUUUGAGUUGUAAAACCCAGUAGAAGAAAAAUGGAGAAAAAAUUAUCAGUGAAAAAUAAACUAGCCAUGCAGUAUUUCACUCUUCACCAAUUUCUCCAAAUCUUUUCUAUAAUUACUGUCAAAUUCUUAAUAAAUUUCCAAGUUGGUGUAUUUCAC